rnacentral:rRNA from 1 species
CCUACGGGGGGCAGCAGUGAGGAAUCUUGGUCAAUGGGCGGGAGCCUGAACCAGCCAAGCCGCGUGAGGGAAGAAGGUACAGCGUAUCGUAAGCCUCUUUUGUCAGGGAACAAAGGCGGGGACUAGUCCCCGGAUGAGGGUACCUGAAGAAAAUGCAUCGGCUAACGCCGUGCCAGCAGCCGCGGUAAUACGGAGGAUGCGAGCGUUAUCCGGGUUUAUUGUGUUUAAAGGGUGCGCAGGCGGGCUGUUAAGUCAGCGGUAAAAGCCCGGGGCCCAACCGCGGGACUGCAUUGGGAACUACUGGGCUGGAGUGCCGGAGAGGUAGGCGGAAUUCCUAGUGUAGCGGUGAAAUGCGUAGAUAUUAGGAGGAACACCAGUGGCGAAGGCGGCCUACUGGACGGUGACUGACGCUGAGGCUCGAAAGCGUGGGGAGCAAACAGGAUUAGAUACCCCAGUAGUC